AUGGCGACCGGCGCACGGGUGAGUAACACGUAUCCAACCUGCCGAUGACUCGGGGAUAGCCUUUCGAAAGAAAGAUUAAUACCCGAUGGCAUAGUUCUUCCGCAUGGUAGAACUAUUAAAGAAUUUCGGUCAUCGAUGGGGAUGCGUUCCAUUAGGUUGUUGGCGGGGUAGCGGCCCACCAAGCCUUCGAUGGAUAGGGGUUCUGAGAGGAAGGUCCCCCACAUUGGAACUGAGACACGGUCCAAACUCCUACGGGAGGCAGCAUG
rnacentral:rRNA from 1 species